GAUGAAGAACGCAGUGAAAUGCGAUAAGUAAUGUGAAUUGCAGAAUUCAGUGAAUCAUCGAAUCUUUGAACGCACAUUGCGCCCGCCAGUAUUCUGGCGGGCAUGCCUGUUCGAGCGUCAUUUCAACCAUCAAGCCCCCGGCUUGUGUUGGGGACCUGCGGCUGCCGCAGGCCCUGAAAAGCAGUGGCGGGCUCGCUGUCACACCGAGCGUAGUAGCAUACAUCUCGCUCUGGGCGUGCUGCGGGUUCCGGCCGUUAAACCACCUUCAUAACCCAAGGUUGACCUCGGAUCAGGUAGGAAGACCCGCUGAACUUAAGCAUAUCAAUAAGCGGAGGA
rnacentral:misc_RNA from 1 species